rnacentral:rRNA from 1 species
GGCGAACGGGUGAGUAACGCGUGAGCAAUCUACCUUAGUUACAGGGAUAGCCCGAGGAAACUCGGAUUAAUACCUGAUAUUCUUUAUUUCUCGCAUGAGAAUAAAAGGAAAGGUCAGCCGAACUAAGAUGAGCUCGCGUUCUAUCAGCUAGUUGGUGAGGUAAAAGCUUACCAAGGCUACGACGGAUAGCUGUCUGAGAGGACGAUCAGCCACACUGGGACUGAGACACAGCCCAGACUCCUACGGGAGGCUGCAGCAGGGAAUAUUGUGCAAUGAACGAAAGUUUGACACAGCGACACCGCGUGUGGGAUGACGGAUCUAGGUUUGUAAACCACUUUCAGGAGGGAAGAAAAUGACGGUACCUCCACAAGAAGCCCCGGCCAACUACGUGCCAGCAGCCGCGGUAAUACGUAGGGGGCGAGCGUUGUCCGGAUUUAUUGGGCGUAAAGAGCUCGUAGGCGGUUCAACAAGUCGGUCGUGAAAGUUCAGGGCUCAACCCUGAAAUGUCGAUCGAUACUGUUGUGACUAGGAUACGGUUGAGGUGAGUGGAAUUCCGAGUGUAGCGGUGAAAUGCGUAGAUAUUCGGAGGAACACCAAUUGCGAAGGCAGCUCACUGGACCGCUAUCGACGCUGAGGAGCGAAAGCUAGGGGAGCAAACAGGAUUAGAUACCCUGGUAAUCCUAGCUGUAAACGAUGGAUACUAGACGUAGGAACUGGAUUGACGGUUUCUGUGUCGUAGCUAACGCGUUAAGUAUCC